GACGAACGCUGGCGGCGUGCCUAAUACAUGCAAGUCGAACGCAGUGGGGACGGGUGAGUAACACGUGGGUAACCUCCCAUCAGAGGGGAUAACACUUGGAAACAGGUGCUAAACCGAUACUGAUGGAUGGACCCGCGGUGGAUUAGCUAGUUGGUGAGGUAACGGCUCACCAAGGCCACGAUGCAUAGCCGGUCUGAGAGGAUGAUCAGCCACACUGGGACUGAGACACGGCCCAGACUCCUACGGGAGGCAGCAGUGGGGAAUUUUGGACAAUGGGGGAAAGCCUGAUCCAGCCAUGCCGCGUGUGUGAAGAAGGCCUUCGGGUUGUAAAGCACUUUUAGCAGGGAAGCGGUACCUACAGAAGAAGCACCGGCUAACUACGUGCCAGCAGCCGCGGUAAUAC
rnacentral:rRNA from 1 species